UCAUCGACUGUCAGGAUCCAGGGUUGUUAGGUUCUCGCUGUAGGGGUUUUGGGUGCAUGCACCACCUUUGUUUCCUCACCAGAUGGCACCAUCAGUUUGACGGAGGGCGUGGAUGACGUCAUCCCACACCGGCCUCGGAUUAGCUCAUCAGCGACAGGUUUUGAGGAGCGGUCUACCAGUCCUUCGGCGCCUGAGUGUUGCCCAGUUUUGUCUCCCCUUGGAUUUCCUCGACUGGAAGACGCGCCGUUUCUCGCUCCUCGCGGAUCCCGAGCCUACCUGUCUGCCCUCCAGCGCGCACACGCCCCACCCAAACCCCCAGAGAGACCGGACCCUGGACCCUGCAGCCACCCGCCGCUAGCUUUUCCCUGCUCUACUCAAAUCCCGGCUACAGCUCCUGCUCCCUCUCCCGCUCCGGCUCCGGCACCCUCAGUUCAGCCCGUGUUUUCCGACGUCCGACUUCCUGGGCCGGAGAGAUUUUCAGAUGGCACCAUCAGUUUGACGGAGGGCGUGGAUGACGUCAUCUCCCACACCGGCCUCGGAUUAGCUCAUCAGCGACAGGUUUUGAGGAGCGGUCUACCAGUCCUUCGGCGCCUGAGUGUUGCCCAGUUUUGGUACCUCCUAGC